rnacentral:rRNA from 1 species
UACGAGGGGGGCGAGCGUUGUUCGGAUUCACUGGGCGUAAAGGGUGCGUAGGUGGCUUGAAAAGUUUGAUGUGAAAGCUCAGGGCUUAACCCUGAAAUGGCAUUGAAUACUGUCGAGCUGGAGGUUUGGAGGGGGGACUGGAAUUCUUGGUGUAGCAGUGAAAUGCGUAGAUAUCAAGAGGAACACCAGUGGCGAAGGCGAGUCCCUGGACAACACCUGACACUGAGGCACGAAAGCUAGGGGAGCAAACAGG